AGUAGAAAUGUGGACGUACAUGUGUGUUAAUACAUUUCCUAGCUCUGUGAAUUGACAGGGACUAUAAGUAAUGAUACUUAUCAGCAAUAAGCAAACUUAGUGUAGAAAUCUUGAUUUAUAAAUGCCAUCCUCCAACGAAAAAAGAACAUGGGCUCCAUGGAGAAAUAAGUGAUCCCAAUUCUAGGGUAGGGAAAACAGAUCCUUUACUAUAUUGAGUAUCAAUGAAUCCCAACAACACAGAAGUGUGACAUGCUGUCUCCUGCUGGAAUCCAUCAGGAAUUCACCCAAAUGGGAUUCUAUAAAGCUGUUGUUUUCAUGCAUUUGAAAUUUUUCACCAGAAAUGUAACAAGCCCUCAGAGACUACAUUGGGAGCAUCCUGGAGGUAUGGGGCAAUUUCCGUUACUAGCACAUGAUAAGGCUGAACAUUCGUGGGCCUUAGCUAGGAAUGAACAUUCAUGGUCCUUAGCUAGGAAUCUUCUCCCUCAAACAGCAUGCUAAUUUACAAUUAAAAAAUAAAUACC